CCGCCCGUCACACCAUGGGAGUGGGUUGCACCAGAAGCAGAUAGUCUAACCUUCGGGAGGGCAUUUGCCACGGUGUGAUUCAUGACUGGGGUG
rnacentral:rRNA from 1 species